AGAGUUUGAUCCUGGCUCAGAUUGAACGCUGGCGGCAUGCCUUACACAUGCAAGUCGAACGGCAGCACGGGAGUAAUCCUGGUGGCGAGUGGCGAACGGGUGAGUAAUAUAUCGGAACGUGCCCAGUCGUGGGGGAUAACGCAGCGAAAGCUGUGCUAAUACCGCGUACGAUCUCUGGAUGAAAGCGGGGGACUCGCAAGAGCCUCGCGCGAUUGGAGCGGCCGAUAUCAGAUUAGCUAGUUGGUGGGGUAAAAGCCCACCAAGGCGACGAUCUGUAGCUGGUCUGAGAGGACGACCAGCCACACUGGAACUGAGACACGGUCCAGACUCCUACGGGAGGCAGCAGUGGGGAAUUUUGGACAAUGGGCGCAAGCCUGAUCCAGCAAUGCCGCGUGCAGGAUGAAGGCCUUCGGGUUGUAAACUGCUUUUGUACGGAACGAAACGGCUCUUUCUAAUAAAGAGGGCUAAUGACGGUACCGUAAGAAUAAGCACCGGCUAACUACGUGCCAGCAGCCGCGGUAAUACGUAGGGUACGAGCGUUAAUCGGAAUUACUGGGCGUAAAGCGUGCGCAGGCGGUGAUGUAAGACAGAUGUGAAAUCCCCGGGCUCAACCUGGGACCUGCAUUUGUGACUGCAUCGCUAGAGUACGGUAGAGGGGGAUGGAAUUCCGCGUGUAGCAGUGAAAUGCGUAGAUAUGCGGAGGAACACCGAUGGCGAAGCAAUCCCCUGGACCUGUACUGACGCUCAUGCACGAAAGCGUGGGGAGCAAACAGGAUUAGAUACCCUGGUAGUCCACGCCCUAAACGAUGUCAACUGGUUGUUGGGUCUUUACUGACUCAUAACGAAGCUAACGCGUGAAGUUGACCGCCUGGGGAGUACGGCCGCAAGGUUGAAACUCAAGGAAUUGA
rnacentral:rRNA from 1 species